GACGAACGCUGGCGGCGUGCUUAACACAUGCAAGUCGUACGGUAAGGCCCUUUCGGGGGUACACGAGUGGCGAACGGGUGAGUAACACGUGAGUAACCUGCCCACAACUUUGGGAUAACGCUAGGAAACUGGUUCUAAUACUGGAUAUGUGCUCCUGCUGCAUGGUUGGGGUUGGAAAGCUCUGGCGGUUGUGUAUGUACUCGCGGCCUAUUAGCUUGUUGGUGGGGUAGUGGCCUACCAAGGCGGCGACGGGUAGCCGGCCUUAGAGAGUGACCAGCCACAAUGGAACUAAGAUACGGGCCAGACACCUACGGGAAGGAGCAGUGGGGAAUAUUGCACAAAGGGCGCAAGCCUAAUGCAGCAACGCCGCGGGCGGGAUGAAGGACUUCGGGUUGUAAACCGCGUUCAGCAGGGACGAAGCUUUUUGUGACGGUACCUGCAGAAGAAGCACCGGCUAACUACGUG
rnacentral:rRNA from 1 species